UACGGAGGGUGCAAGCGUUAUCCGGAUUCACUGGGUUUAAAGGGUGCGUAGGCGGAUUAUAAAGUCCGUUGUGAAAUCUCUGAGCUUAACUCGGAAAUUGCGGUGGAUACUAUUAGUCUUGAAUACUGUGGAGGUUAGCGGAAUAUGUCAUGUAGCGGUGAAAUGCAUAGAUAUGACAUAGAACACCAAUUGCGAAGGCAGCUGGCUACACAGAUAUUGACGCUGAGGCACGAAAGCGUGGGGAUCAAACAGG
rnacentral:rRNA from 1 species